CCGACUGCUAUUUGGGUGAGAAUAAGCCAUGCGAGUUGAAUGGGAUACCUAAAGUUCCCAUAGCAAACUGCUCAGUAACACAUGAUCAACUUACCCUAUAGAGAAAAAUAACCUCGGGAAACUGAGGAUAAUGUUUCAUAAUUGAAUUGGCUUGGAAAAGUUUUUCAAUGAAAGGGAUAAAAAAAAUGGUUUUUAUCUGCUAUAGGAUAGGAUCGUGUUCGAUUAUGGUUGUUGGUGAGAUAAUGGCUCACCAAGCCGAUAAUCGAUAGGGGCCGUGAGAGCGGGAGCCCCGAGAUGGGUACUGAGACAACGACCCAGGCCUUACGAGGCGCAGCAGGCGCGGAACCUCCGCAAUACACGAAAGUGUGACGGGGUUACCCAAAGUGUUCAAUAGAACUGUGGUAGGUGAGUAAUGUCCCCUACUAGAAAGGAGAGGGCAAGGCUGGUGCCAGCCGCCGCGGUAAAACCAGCUCCUCAAGAGGUCGGGAUAAUUAUUGGGCUUAAAGUGUCCGUAGCCGGUUUAGUAAGUUCCUGGUAAAAUCGGGUAGCUUAACUAUCUGCAUGCUAGGAAUACUGCUAUACUAGAGGGCGGGAGAGGUCUGAGGUACUACAGGGGUAGGGGUGAAAUCUUAUAAUCCUUGUAGGACCACCAGUGGCGAAGGCGUCAGACUGGAACGCGCCUGACGGUGAGGGACGAAAGCCAGGGGAGCGAACCGGAUUAGAUACCCGGGUAGUCCUGGCCGUAAACGAUGCAUACUAGGUGAUGGUACGGCCAUGAGCCGUAUCAGUGCCGUAGGGAAACCGUUAAGUGUGCCGCCUGGGAAGUACGGUCGCAAGGCUAAAACUUAA
rnacentral:rRNA from 1 species